AUCUGCUCGUGUAUGCUGCUGGGAUUGACGAACGAGACGCGGUAGCCAUCGGCCGCGAUGCGCUUGCAAAGAUGGAGCAUUGGCGACAUAUGGCCCUGGGCCGGGAAAGGGCUUGCUUCAUCUCUGGAUCUCUCUUCCUCGUUGCGACUCUUUUCUGGGUCUGUUUGCGCUUGCUAAGUUGCGCAAUUUUGUUGCUAAGGCAAAGUUGCGUGGAUGGUUUGAUAUCAAGUCAAGAGAAACUUCUCAGGAGCUUCUCUACACAAUUUGGUGGACGGCGUUUUCUAGACCAAGAAGAAACGUUGUUUUAGAUGUAUUAAAACAAGCCCUAAUCUCGAUCCACCACCUUUCGCC